rfam:Candidatus Portnoybacteria bacterium RIFCSPHIGHO2_12_FTLL_38_9 rifcsphigho2_02_scaffold_3532, whole genome shotgun sequence.
GGGCGAGUGGUGAAAUUGGCAGACACGUACGGUUCAGAACCGUAUGGCAGCAAUGCCUUGCGGGUUCAAAUCCCGCCUCGCCCA